AGAUUGAACGCUGGCGGCAUGCCUAACACAUGCAAGUCGAACGGGAGUAGCAAUACUCUAGUGGCGGACGGGUGAGGAAUACGUAGGAAUUUGCCCUUAAGUGGGGGAUAACCCGGGGAAACCCGGAUUAAUACCGCAUGACCUCGAAAGAGCAAAGUGGGGGAUCGCAAGACCUCACGCUUUUGGAGAAGCCUACGUCGGAUUAGCUAGUUGGUGAGGUAAUGGCUCACCAAGGCGACGAUCCGUAACUGGUCUGAGAGGAUGAUCAGUCACACCGGAACUGAGACACGGUCCGGACUCCGUACGGGAGCAGCAGUGGGGAAUAGUGGACAAGUGGGCGCAAGCCUGAUCCAGCAAUGCCGCGUGUGUAGGAAGGACGGUCCGUUGGGUUAGUAAAGCGAACGUUUUAAGGUUA
rnacentral:rRNA from 1 species